rnacentral:lncRNA from 1 species
CCCGCCACCACGCCCAGCUAAUUUUUUUUUGUUUGUAUUUUUACUAGAGACUGGUUUAAUAAUAAAUAUUAUCAUGUUGGCAUAGUAUUUAUUCUUGCUUUUCUCUUUUAUAUAUAUCCAGAAGAAUAUGUGUUUUUGUUUGUUUUUGAGACAGAGUUUUGCUCUUGUUGCCCAUGCUGGAGUGUAAUGGUGUGAUUUCGGCUCAAUGCAACCUCCACCUGCCAGGUUCAAGCGAUUCUCCUGUCUCAGCCUCCAGGGUAGCUGGGAUUACAGCCGCCUGCCAUGACGCCCAGCUAAUUUUUUUAUUUUUAGUAGAGACGGGGUUUCACCACAUUGGCCAGGCUGGUCACGAACUCCUGACCUCAGGUGAUCCACACACCUCAGCUUCCCAAAGUGCUGAGAUUACAGAAUAAGUUUAUAACAUAUUCUACAUAUAAGGUAUAUAUAGAGUGUGUGUGUGUGUGUGUGUGUGUGUGUGUGUGAUAUAAGAUCUAAAUAUAUGGGAACAAAUGAUAAAAAUCAUAUCCAUGGAUAAGAACUCAAUAACUCAAUAGUGCAACAGAGAUAUCUCAUCUCAAAUUUAUCUAUAGAUUUCAAAGAGAUCCCAAUCAAAAUCCCAACAGAAUUUUUGUGGAUAUUGUCAAUCUAAUUCUAAAAUAUAUAUAGAAAUAUAAAUAAGAAUAGCAAGAAUAAACUUGAUAAAAAUACAAAUUUGAAGAAAUAUAUGGAAUUUAUAACCAUAUUUAUUAAAAAUAUAUAAUAAAUAGAGACACAUAUAUUGAUGUAAGGAAAAACAAAAAGACCAGUAUGAUAGAAUACAAAGUUUGAAAAAAAGCCUAUGUAUAUAUGGAACUUGAGUCAUGAAAAAAUGCACUGUAGAGAACUUGAGAAAAAAAUGCUUCAAUAAAUGGCACUGUUGUAUUUGUAUGUUUAUAUAGUAGAAGGAAUAUUUCCCCAACUCCAUAUUAUGGACAAAUAUGAAUUCCAGUUGACUAUAGGCCUAUCUAAUAAAAAAUGAUAGGUCAUUAGAGAAUUAUAUAGAAUAAUUAAUACAUGAAUUAAUGUGUAUGGUUUCUGAAUAAAAAGACAUUAAAUGUAAAGAAGAAAUAAUGAAUUUUACUAAGAAAAACAUGGCAAAUUUGGACAACAAACACUUAAAUCAAAGAACUUCUGUAUCAAAACAUAACAGAGAGAUAGUGAAAAAUCAAAUCAAAACUGGAAGAAAAUAUCUGCAAUUAAUAUCACCUAAAAGCACUAAUACUCAAAAUGUACAGAGUCCCUUUGUAAUUAAAUUUUUAAAAAAGAACAGCCCAAAAGAAAAUAAUAUGAGCUAAAGCUUGAACUCUCACUUCCAAAAAAAAAAUAAAUAAAUAAAGGAAAUCUAAAUGGCCAACGAACAUAUGACAAACCUAUAACUUCAACGGUAUUUAGGGAGAUGCAAAUUAAAUCACAACAGAAUUUAACAAAAAUUGAUAAAAAUUUUAAAAACUGACAACAGCAACAACAACUCUCACAUACCACUGGUGAGAAUGUAAACUGAAAUUGUUAUUUUAACAAACACUGUAUUUAUUUCAUUAUGUUGAGGAAAUCUAUACCCUAUAACCCAGAGAUUUUACAUCUGUAUUUGUAUGUUAUAUACUCAUACCUAUAUAGGGAUACAUACUGAAAAAUAUUAACUGCAAUAUUACUUAAAAUGGUGACAAUUUGAUGACAACGUAAAUAUUCAGCAAUCAAAAAAUAAAUGAAUUGUGAUGGUAUGCAUAUAAAAGAAUAGUAUAGACAGUCAACAUUAACAAAAUAGAGCUACUAACAAAAACGUUAAUGAAUCUUAGAACCACAUUACUGAAGAGAAGCUGUCAGAACAAAAGGCAUAUACUGAAUGCACCAUUUAUAUAAUCUUUACAACAAAACAAAACAAGACAAAACAAAUUAUAUUGUUAAAGGACAUAUACAUGGAAGUUAAAGCUGAAAAGACAACUGAGAAAUCAAUUCCCAUAAAAAUCAUGUUAAGGCUAAUCUUUGUAAGACGGGAGGGUGUCAGUCAGGAAGGUGUAUUGGAAGGACUGGCAAUGUUUUAUUCCUUGACAAAAGCAAUCAUUACAUGAAUGUUCAUUAUAUAAUAACUUUUAAAUGACAUUCAUGGCUGGCCAUUUUUCUAGUCCACAGAAAAAUUUUUAAUAAGUAGAUUUUCUUUACUUUUUCUCUCAUUGCCAAUAAUGACUUGUUCUCCUUUUUUACCGUAUGACUGUAUUUUUUACCAUACAGAGAAGAGUUCUACCUUUUUAUAACAUAUGCUAAUAUUAGAUUUUGACAACUUAUUAAGAAGAUUAAAGACCAGGCACAGUGGCUCAUGCUUGUAAACCCAGCACUUUGGGAGGCUGAGGCAGGAGGAUCACUUGAGGUCAGGAGUUCAAGGCCAGCUUGGCCAGCAUGCUGAAACCCCGUCUCUGCUAAAAAAAAUACAGAAAUUAGCUGGGCAUGGUGGUGCGUACCUGUAAUUCCAACUACUCGGGAGGCUGAGGCAGGAGAAUUGCUUGAACUUGGGAGGAGGAGGCUGCAAUGAGCCAAGAUCAUGACACUCCACUUCAGCCUGGACAGAAUGAGAUCCAGCUGCUUGCUCUCAUGGUCCAAUAACAUGAUUCAGAUAGACUGGAAAAGAAGGGAGUUUAUUUCAGCAACUGAUUACAGCUAGAAGGUUGGAGUAACUCAUCAGACCAAUUAAAAUUUACAAGUUUUUGUUCUAGUGCUUGUAUACAUUUUAGACAUGAAGUCUACAAGUGGGAGUGCACCUACAAGCAGGAGUGUUUCAUUCAAUCUAUAUCUAAUCUUUAACUGGGAUCUGGGGUCUGGAAAGCUUUCUCUAGAGUCUUAGAAAGUUUCUUAAUUUUAAGUGGGCCCUGGUACAAAGUGCAUGUCUAAGAAAGCUUGUAUUAUUUGGUCAGACUUUAAGGUCUGAGAAAACCCAGGUGGGGUCUUAAUGGAUUUGUUUUUACAUUGCAGCCCUUGUACUCCCACGCACAUUCCUCCAGUUCUUUAAUGUUUGACUUAUGCAGUCAUCAAAAUUAUAGCAAAGGGUUAGUGGAAUUGAUGUAGUUACCAAUGGACAAAAUGAUAAAGGAAAUAUGGUAUAUGUAUAUAUAAUUAAAUACUAUUUGAAAUAGUUAUCAAUGGACAAAAUGAUAAAGAAAUAUGAUAUAUGUAUAUACAAUUGAAUACUAUUUGGAUAUAGAAAUAAUGAAAACAUGUCAUUUGCAGCAACAUGCAUGAAACUAGAGGUUGUUAUGUUAAGUGAAAUAACCCAGGCACACAAAGGCAAAUAUUGCAUGUUCUUAUUCAGAUGUGGAAGCUAAACAAUGUUGAUACCUGGAGCAGAGCAAGCUUCUCUAACCUGGGUCCCGAAGGCUGCAUGGGGCCCGCAGGCUUCAGGCAGCCCAGGAUGGCUUUGAAUGCGGCCCUAGACAAAUUUGUAAACUUUCUCAAAACGUUAUAAGGUUUCUUGUGAUUUUUUUUUCUUAGCUCAUCUGCUAUCAGUAGUGUAUUUUAUGUUUGGCCCAAGACAAUUCUUUUUCUUCCAUUGUGGCCCAGGGGUGCCAAAAGAUUGGAUAUCACUGGAGUAGAGAGUAGAAUGAUAGUUACUAGGGUCUGGGAAGGGUGUGGGUAUGUGUGUGUUAGUGGAGGUGAAUGAAGAAAGAUUGAUGUAAUGGGUACAAACAGAGUUAGAUAACAGAAUUAAGUUCUAAUGUUCAAUAACACAGUAGGGUGACUAUAGUUGACAACAAGGUAUUGUAUAUUUCAAAAUAGCUAGGAGAGCACCUGAAAUGUUCUCAAUAUGUAGAAAUGCUAAGUGUUCAAGGUGACAGAUAUCCUAGAUAUCCUGAGUUGAUCAUUACACACUCUAUGUAUGUAACAAAAUACCAUAUGUACCUCAUAAAUAUACACAAACAUUAUGUAUUAAUAAAGAAGAUAAUAUAAAAAUUCCUGUAAAGAUAAAAUAUGUAGUAUUUAAAAAUAUAAAAUGAUUAUAUGUCAUGAAUAUUCCUAAACUGAAAAUAGUGUUUUCUAUUAAAAUGCCUUUUUAAAAUACUUAUAAUGUAGUUAAUGUUUUUAGCCAUUGCACCUUAUCAAGAAAACAACAUAAAGACACACAUAAGGAAACUUAUAAAGAAAAUGUAUUUAUUUGUAAGAAAUACUGUAUUUUUAGACUAGGUUAAUUAGGUAAAUGCUAUACUUUUAAGCAAGGUUACAUGUUACAUUUUUAUAAAAUUGUUUUGUAUAAUAUUUAUUUGAUUGCAAUUGUUUUUUGACAUUCAGAAAAUGAUACUUUUUAUGUGUUAAUUUUAACUAUCUCCCUCAGUAUAAAAGUAUUAUGCUCACUGAUGUCAUAA